rnacentral:misc_RNA from 1 species
UACGGAGGAUGCAAGCGUUAUCCGGAUUCAUUGGGUUUAAAGGGUGCGUAGGCGGACUAUUAAGUCAGUGGUGAAAUCCUGCAGCUUAACUGCAGAACUGCCAUUGAUACUGAUGGUCUUGAGUUUGGUUAAGGUAGGCGGAAUGUGUAAUGUAGCGGUGAAAUGCUUAGAUAUUACACAGAACACCAAUUGCGUAGGCAGCUUACUGAGCCGACACUGACGCUGAGGCACGAAAGCGUGGGGAUCGAACAGG